UUUUUUUUUUUUGCUUUGAAAUGUCUUCUUCUGUUUCUUCUUCAAUUUCUGAGCAAAUCUAGAGUCCUACUAGCCCGUAUUAUAUACAUCCGAAUGAAAACCUAGGGGCUGUUCUUGUUUCUCCUCCACUCUCAGGAAAUAACUAUCACUCUUGGUCGCGAGCUAUGGCAAUGGCCUUGGAAUCCAAGAACAAGAUAGAUUUUGUUAACAAAAGCAUUUCUUGUCCAGUUCCAACAGAUCCGUUGUAUUUGGCCUGGCGUCAAUGCAAUAAUUUGGUGAUUUCAUGGAUCAAUCGAUGUCUCUCAUCGGAUAUUUCACAAAGUGUUCUUUGGAUCAACACAGCUUAUGACCUUUGGUUAGAUCUAGCAGAUCGUUUUUCUCAAAACGAUGCCUCUCGUAUUGCAGAAAUCCAAGAAGAAAUGUUUUCUUUAAGACAAGGAGAUUUACCGGUUGGCCAAUAUUUCACCAAGCUUAAGAUUCUUUGGGAUGAAUUGCAGAAUCUACGACCUCUCUCCUCAUGUACUUGUGAAGCUCGAAAGUAUCUGCAACAAGAUUACACUAUCCGUUUUCUUCGUGGCCUCAAUGAUCGAUUUACAGGGGUUAAAUCUCAAAUAAUGCUUAUGGAUCCUAUUCCUGGUAUAAAUCGUGUCUGUAAUCUUGUUUUGCAGCAGGAACGAGAGAUGAUUUCUGAAUCCAAGGUCCUCAUGGAAAAUCGUGGUCCUAAUCCACGAUCUCAAUCUCAACCUCGGCAAAAUAAUGGUUCUAAUUCUAGUUUCAACAACAAGCAAUGUACGUUUUGUGGCAAGCUGAGACACACAGAGGAGACAUGUUAUCGCAAGCAUGGAUUUCCUCCUAGUUUUAAAUUUUGAAAUUCAUCCCACUCGACCAAUAAUUCUGCUUCUUAGCCUCCGGUUUCAUUAGCCGAAGCCAAGGAUUCCUCUCAUGAUGCAAAAAUUGGUCUAACUUCUGAGCAAUAUCAACAGGACUUGACCAAGUGGAAGACGAUUGGUUCAGCUGAAGUUCAAGAAGGAUUAUACAUAAUGAAGCGUCAGGCAAAUCCAUCUCUUGCUCUUGCUUCCAGAACUCAUGUCAAAACCCAUGAUGCCAACUUCUUCGACUUAUGGCACUUCCGUCUUGGCCAUCUGUCUCCUGGAUCUCUUCAGCGAAUUCAUAAUAAA